AUGAAUGUGUCGCAAAUGUUUCAGCAAACCAGUGUAUUGGCACUUGACCUCUGGAAAUUUUGUUUCAUUGGAAUCAAUGAAUGUGACACGAGUGUCAGGAAUCUGCUUGGCAACCCUUUGCAAUGCAUUAGACUCUCGCAGCUCUAUCAAGGGAGGAAGACGACAUUAGCAUCGAGGCUAAGGACCACCCUUGCCUCGCGUUCGCGUCUUAGAUCGAAACAGCCCCAUGUUUUCGCCGGCUUGGUAUUCAUGAACGGGGUUCCAACGUGGGACAUUCGAGUUCCUCUCUUCUUCCUUCAUGAAUUUACAAUCGGAGCGAAGAAAUCGCGUAGACGAGGCUCGCACGUGCCACGCUUCCGCGAGAAACUGCGCGGAACAUUGGAAAUUUAAAUUCCACGAAUGAGUCUACAUUUCCUUCUGAAAACGAUCAUCCUGUAGUACGCAAAGUGAAUACUCCUAUCGAUUUCCUACGUCCCACAAUGGUCGUCAGAAAUGAGCAAAAACCCGUCGUGCUCGGUAAUCGUAUCGAGCAACGAAUCCGUGAUCCAGCUAAUAAGAGCGACAGCGUCGAAGGAAGGGGGAAAGAGAGAAAUAAUAACAUGAAAGAUAGAGGCUGGAGGUUUAGCCGGACGAGGGUGAAUGGGGAAUUGGUUUCUGUAACACACGAGCCAAGUGACAUACCUG